AUUGAACGCUGGCGGCAUGCCUUACACAUGCAAGUCGAACGGCAGCGAACCUUCGGGUGUCGGCGAGUGGCGAACGGGUGAGUAAAGUAUCGGAACGUACCAUUCAGUGGGGGAUAACGUAGCGAAAGUUACGCUAAUACCGCAUAUUCUCUGAGGAGGAAAGCAGGGGACCUUCGGGCCUUGCGCUGAUUGAGCGGCCGAUAUCAGAUUAGCUAGUUGGUGAGGUAAAGGCUCACCAAGGCGACGAUCUGUAGCGGGUCUGAGAGGAUGAUCCGCCACACUGGGACUGAGACACGGCCCAGACUCCUACGGGAGGCAGCAGUGGGGAAUUUUGGACAAUGGGCGCAAGCCUGAUCCAGCAAUGCCGCGUGUGUGAAGAAGGCCUGCGGGUUGUAAAGCACUUUCAGUGGGGAAGAACAGAUUCGGGUCAAUACCCCGGAGCCCUCGACGUUACCCACACGAAGAAGCACCGGCUAACUCCGUGCCAGCA
rnacentral:rRNA from 1 species